rfam:Methanosarcina acetivorans str. C2A, complete genome.
GAAUUUGUUAACAAAUAUCCAAAUCAUAACCGAGCAUAUCUUUAUUUUCGGUCGGAUAGGUUCGAUAUUGAAGAUAGUGAAGAUAUGAAUGAAGUUGCAA